rnacentral:rRNA from 1 species
UACGUAGGGCGCAAGCGUUGUCCGGAAUUAUUGGGCGUAAAGAGCUCGUAGGCGGCUUGUCACGUCGGGUGUGAAAGCCCGGGGCUCAACCUUCGGGCUUGCAGUGGAUACGGGCAGACUAGAGUGCGGUAGGGGAGACUGGAAUUCCUGGUGUAGCGGUGGAAUGCGCAGAUAUCAGGAGGAACACCGAUGGCGAAGGCAGGUCUCUGGGCCGCAACUGACGCUGAGGAGCGAAAGCAUGGGGAGCGAACAGG